GACGAACGCUGGCGGCGUGCUUAACACAUGCAAGUCGAACGUGAUUUUUGUGGAAAUUCUUUCGGGAAUGGAAAUGAAAUGAAAGUGGCGAACGGGUGAGUAACACGUGAGCAACCUACCUUACACAGGGGGAUAGCCGUUGGAAACGACGAUUAAUACCGCAUGAGACCACAGAAUCGCAUGAUAUAGGGGUCAAAGAUUUAUCGGUGUAAGAAGGGCUCGCGUCUGAUUAGCUAGUUGGAAGGGUAAAGGCCUACCAAGGCGACGAUCAGUAGCCGGUCUGAGAGGAUGAACGGCCACAUUGGAACUGAGACACGGUCCAAACUCCUACGGGAGGCAGCAGUGGGGAAUAUUGCACAAUGGGGGGAACCCUGAUGCAGCGACGCCGCGUGAGCGAAGAAGGUUUUCGAAUCGUAAAGCUCUGUCCUAUGAGAAGAUAAUGACGGUAUCAUAGGAGGAAGCCCCGGCUAAAUACGUGCCAGCAGCCGCGGUAAUACGUAUGGGGCGAGCGUUGUCCGGAAUUAUUGGGCGUAAAGGGUACGUAGGCGGUUUUUAAGUCAGGUGUGAAAGCGUGAGGCUUAACCUCAUUAAGCACUUGAAACUGGAAGACUUGAGUGAAGGAGAGGAAAGUGGAAUUCCUAGUGUAGCGGUGAAAUGCGUAGAUAUUAGGAGGAAUACCGGUGGCGAAGGCGACUUUCUGGACUUUUACUGACGCUCAGGUACGAAAGCGUGGGGAGCAAACAGG
rnacentral:rRNA from 1 species